rnacentral:rRNA from 1 species
AACGAACGCUGGCGGCAUGCCUAACACAUGCAAGUCGAACGAGACCUUCGGGUCUAGUGGCGCACGGGUGCGUAACGCGUGGGAACCUGCACUUAGGUUCGGAAUAACUCCCCGAAAGGGGUGCUAAUACCGGAUAAUGUCUUCGGACCAAAGAUUUAUCGCCUUUGGAUGGGCCCGCGUUGGAUUAGCUAGUUGGUAGGGUAAAAGCCUACCAAGGCGACGAUCCAUAGCUGGUCUGAGAGGAUGAUCAGCCACACUGGGACUGAGACACGGCCCAGACUCCUACGGAACGCAGCAGUGGGGAAUAUUGGACAAUGGGCGAAGGCCUGAUCCAGCAAUGCCGGGUAAGUGAUGAAGGCCUUAGGGUUGUAAAGCUCCUUUACCCGGGAUGAUAAUGACAGUACCGGGAGAAUAAGCUCCGGCUAACUCCGUG